rnacentral:rRNA from 1 species
UCGGGAAUUUUGGGCAAUGGGGGAAACCCUGACCCAGCAACGCCGCGUGAAGGAUGAAGUAUUUCGGUAUGUAAACUUCGAAAGAAUAGGAAGAAUAAAUGACGGUACUAUUUAUAAGGUCCGGCUAACUACGUGCCAGCAGCCGCGGUAAUACGUAGGGUGCGAGCGUUAAUCGGAAUUACUGGGCGUAAAGUGUGCGCAGGCGGCCGAGCAAGUCGAGUGUGAAAGCCCCGAGCUUAACUUGGGAAUUGCGCUCGAAACUACUUGGCUGGAGUGUGGCAGAGGAGGGUGGAAUUCCACGUGUAGCGGUGAAAUGCGUAGAGAUGUGGAGGAACACCGAUGGCGAAGGCAGCCCUCUGGGCCAACACUGACGCUCAUGCACGAAAGCGUGGGGAGCAAACAGGAUUAGAUACCCUUGUAGUCCCUGAGCGGGCUGGCAAGGCGCAU